rnacentral:snRNA from 1 species
AGCUUUGCACAGUGGCAGUAUCGUAGCCAAUGAGGUUUAUCCGAGGCACGAUUAUUGCUAAUUGAAAAAAAAAGAUAAAUAAAAAUAAAAUAAGUUAUCAAUAAAUGUUUGUUGAAUUGAAUUAUU